rnacentral:rRNA from 1 species
CCUACGGGUGGCAGCAGUGGGGAAUAUUGCACAAUGGGGGAAACCCUGAUGCAGUGACGCCGCGUGAGUGAAGAAGUAAUUCGUUAUGUAAAGCUCUAUCAGCAGGGAAGAAAAUGACGGUACCUGAGUAAGAAGCUCCGGCUAACUACGUUCCAGCAGCCGCGGCAACACGGAGGAGGCAAGCGUUAUCCGGAUUUACCGGGGGUAAAGGGAGUGUAGACGGCAGUGCAAGUCCGGAGUGAAAGGCGGGGGCUCAACCCCCGGACUGCCCUGGAAACUGUGCGGCUGGAGUGCAGGAGAGGUAGGUGGAAUUCCUAGUGUAGCGGUGAAAUGCGUAGAUAUUAGGAAGAACACCAGUGGCGAAGGCAGCUUACUGGACUGUAACUGACGUUGAGGCUCGAAAGCGUGGGGAGCAAACAGGAUUAGAUACCCGUGUAGUC